rfam:Erwinia amylovora ATCC 49946 chromosomal sequence.
AAAAAGAAAUGACCCGCACGGGGGAGCCGUGUGGGCCUAAGAUGUGACGAGUAUCGUUCAUCCUGCAUGCCUUUACAGACACGAUUCAGAACAGAUGGUUAUGCUAUUUGGAUUUUAUCGUUAGGAGCCUGUGAAUUCUGGCAGGAAA